rnacentral:lncRNA from 1 species
AUUUUUUUUAAUAAAUAAGUCGAAUACGAGUCGAGAAAUUUAGCUUGUCUAAUAAAUAAAUCAAAUAUGAGUUAAAAUUAGCUCGUUUGUGUUCAGUUAAAUAACAAAUCGAAUAUAUAUAUUUUAUAUUUAACUAGUUGAGUGUUCAUGUUCACACUCCCUAACACGGCUAUACAUCUCUGACAAUCUCGUUCAAAAACCACUGCACCGUCAUAAUUAAUUUUGGAUAUACCGAUUGUUUCUAAAGCAAGUGGCAAAGGGAUAAUUGGUUGGUACCCGGGAUCACAAGUUCAAAUCUUAGUUGAUUCACAUUUCUAGCUAAAUUUAUUUCUAAAUAAAAUAAACAAAACGGAUAGUGUGCUACCUAUAUAAAUGACUAGUUUUUAUAUUUUAUUUAUUGUUUAUUUAAAUAAAAAUUAAAAACAGUUAUAAAAUUUAGAUGUGAAAAUUUAUUGUAUUAUUUUUAUAAUUGCACAAUAA